rnacentral:misc_RNA from 1 species
GUUUUCGCAGAGAGUGAUUGGGAUACUAGAGGCACAAGGUGUGGAUUUUGAGUGUGUAGAUGUGCUUGACGAGGAAUACAAUUGUGGGUUGAGGGAGACGCUGAAGAAGUACAGCAAUUGGCCGACCUUCCCUCAAGUUUUUGUCGGAGGCGAACUUGUCGGAGGGUGCGAUAUCAUAUCCUCCAUGCAAGAGAAGGGGGAGCUCACGAAGCUGUUACAAAACUAGCAGCCUUGUUAUUUCAGAAACUUUAUAGGCAUUUAUUACUGUUCGAUUUGAGCUAUCUGAAGACGAAAUGUAUAAUUUUCUAAGGCCAUUAGCUGACUGAGAGCACACAG